UGGGUCAAGAUUUGAAUGGGAAUCUUGUAGACAUGGCGACGAAAGCUGCGACUGCAGAUCAAUGCCAAACUUUAUGCGAGCAAGUGGCUGCCUGCAACGGAUGGAUAUUUUAUGCGCCAAACUGUUUUAAAAAAGGUGGUGAAAUUGUCUUUAGAAAUAUUGUUCAACCCGGCCUUAUUUCUGGUUUUAAACCCUCCUACAUCAGCGUAAACCCUGAAGAUCUCUAGGCCAAAUCUGAACCCUGAAGAUCUCUAGGCCAAAUCUGAACCCUGAAGAUCUCUAGGCCAAAUCUGAACCCUCAAGAUCUCUAGGCCAAAUCGGAACCCUCAAGAUCUCUAGGCCAAAACUGAACCCUGAAAAUCUCUAGGUCAAAUCUGAACCCUAAGUUUCUCUAGGCAAAAUUUUAACCCUGAAAUAUCUCUAGGCCAAAUCUGAACCCUGAAGAUCUCUAGGCCAAAUCUGAACCCUCAAGAUCUCUAGGCCAAAACUGAACCCUGAAAAUCUCUAGGUCAAAUCUGAACCCUAAGUUUCUCUAGGCAAAAUUUUAACCCUGAAAUAUCUCUAGGCCAAAUCUGAACCCUGAAGAUCUCUAGGCAAAAUUUUAACACUGAAACAUCUCUAAGACCAAUCUAAAGCAAAAUAUAUAUAAUGCUUUAAACAUCAAGCAAACUCAAAAACUAAAAUCGUGUUUAUCCAUAUAAUUUGGCGCAUUUCCUAAAAAAACGGAAUAAUCAAAUAUAUUAGAAAUAAAUCAAUUACAGAAAAAUGGUUUGCCGUAAAAUUUUAGU